rnacentral:rRNA from 1 species
AAAUUUAAGUAUUAUUGUUAUUAUAAAUUUUUAAUUUUCUAAAAAAAGUAAUUUUUUUUUUAUUAAUUUGUAUGAAUAAAUUUAAUUAAUUAUAGUAUAUUUGUAUUGUGAAAGAUUUAUUGGAAUUUAUUAUAAGAAUAAUUUAUUUUUAGUACCUUGUGUAUCAGGGUUUAUUAAAUAAAAUUUAUUAAUUUAAAUUUCUCGAACUUAAAAGAUCUAUAUUUAUAUAAUUUUUAUUGUGAAAUAAAUAUUAUAUAUAUAAAUAUAGAAGUGAAAUAUUAUUCGAUUUUAAAUAUAUCUAGUUUUUAAAGAAAAAAAUUUAAUUUUAUUUUUAUUUAAAGUAUUAAUUUUAAUUUUUAAAAUAAUAUUAUUAAAAAUUUAUGUUUUAGGGGAUGAGCUGUAAAGCAAAACUAUAAAAAUUGUAUUAUUAAUAUUUUAGUAAAUAGAAUUAUAAGUUUUUAUUUUUAAUAGUGUUUUAUAACUAUCUAAAUUAAAAAUAUUAUUUUUAUAUAUUUUAUAUAUUUAUUUGAAUAUAAGUUUUAAUAAAAAAUAUUAGGUAAUAAUGAUAAAAUUAGUAUAUUAAAUUAGUUAAUUAUUUUAAUUAUAUAAGGUUUUAUAAAGGAAUUCGGCAAAUACAUUUUUCACCUGUUUAUCAAAAACAUGUCCUUUUGAUUUAAAUUUAAGGUCUAACCUGCUCAAUGAAUUUUAAAUAGCCGCAGUAUACUGACUGUGCAAAGGUAGCAUAAUCAUUAGUUUUUUAAUUGGAAGCUGGAAUGAAGGGUUGAAUGAGAAAAUAGCUGUCUCUAUAAAAAUUUUUUAGAAUUUUAUUUUUGAGUAAAAAGGCUUAAAUAUUAAUAAAAGACGAGAAGACCCUAUAGAGUUUUAUAUUUAUGUAUAAUACAUAUUUAUUGUAGUAUUUUAAAAUUUAUUAUAUUAUUAUAUUUAAUUGGGGUGAUUAGAAAAUUAAUAAAACUUUUCUUUAAAAUAUCAUUUAUUUAUGAAAAUAUGAUCCUUUUUCAAGAUUAUUAGAUAAAAUUACCUUAGGGAUAACAGCGUAAUUUUUUUUGAGAGUUCAAAUCGAAAAAAAAGAUUGCGACCUCGAUGUUGGAUUAAAAUAAAUUUUUGGUGUAGAAGCUAAAUUAAUUAGGUCUGUUCGACCUUUAAAAUUUUACAUGAUCUGAGUUCAAACCGGUGUAAGCC